UCUCUUUAAUGACCCUGUCAGUCUUGGAGA
rnacentral:piRNA from 1 species